rnacentral:rRNA from 1 species
UACAGAGGGUGCAAGCGUUGUUCGGAAUUACUGGGCGUAAAGCGCGCGUAGGCGGCUUUGCAAGUCGGGUGUGAAAUCCCCAGGCUUAACCUGGGAACUGCAUUCGAGACUGCAUUGCUAGAGUAUGGGAGAGGGAAGUGGAAUUUCCGGUGUAGCGGUGAAAUGCGUAGAUAUCUGAAGGAACAUCAGUGGCGAAAGCGACUUCCUGGACCAAUACUGACGCUCAUGUGCGAAAGCGUGGGGAGCAAACAGG